rnacentral:rRNA from 1 species
UACGAAGGGGCUAGCGUUGCUCGGAAUUACUGGCGUAAAGGGCGCGUAGGCGGACAGUUUAGUCAGAGGUGAAAGCCCAGGGCUCAACCUUGGAACUUGCCUUUGAUACUGGCUGUCUUGAGUACGGGAGAGGUGUGUGGAACUCCGAGUGUAGAGGUGAAAUUCGUAGAUAUUCGGAAGAACACCAGUGGCGAAGGCGACACACUGGCCCGUUACUGACGCUGAGGCGCGAAAGCGUGGGAGCAAACAGG